rnacentral:RNase_P_RNA from 1 species
GGGGUCGGUCAGGUGGCCGCCGGAGGCACGGCUUCCGGAGGAAAGUCCGGGCUCCAGAGGGCAGGACGCCGGGUAACUCCCGGAGGGGGUAACCCCUGGAAAGUGCCACAGAAAACAGACCGCCUCGGCUUUGCCGGGGUAAGGGUGAAAAGGUGGGGUAAGAGCCCACCGCCUGCCUCCGAGAGGAGGCAGGGCACGGUAAACCCCGUCCGGAGCAAGGCCAUGUAGGGGGGCUUAAAAGGGUGGCCCGCCCGAUGCCCCUGGGUAGGCCGCUUGAGCGGUUGGGUGACCAACCGCCCAGACUAAUGGCCACCGCCCCUUGAACCCAAGGGGAACAGAACCCGGCUUAUGACCGGCCCCCAUU